rnacentral:rRNA from 1 species
UUGAACGCUGGCGGCAGGCCUAACACAUGCAAGUCGAGCGGUAGCACAGAGAGCUUGCUCUCGGGUGACGAGCGGCGGACGGGUGAGUAAUGUCUGGGAAACUGCCUGAUGGAGGGGGAUAACUACUGGAAACGGUAGCUAAUACCGCAUAACGUCGCAAGACCAAAGUGGGGGACCUUCGGGCCUCAUGCCAUCAGAUGUGCCCAGAUGGGAUUAGCUAGUAGGUGGGGUAACGGCUCACCUAGGCGACGAUCCCUAGCUGGUCUGAGAGGAUGACCAGCCACACUGGAACUGAGACACGGUCCAGACUCCUACGGGAGGCAGCAGUGGGGAAUAUUGCACAAUGGGCGCAAGCCUGAUGCAGCCAUGCCGCGUGUGUGAAGAAGGCCUUCGGGUUGUAAAGCACUUUCAGCGGGGAGGAAGGCGAUAAGGUUAAUAACCUUGUCGAUUGACGUUACCCGCAGAAGAAGCACCGGCUAACUCCGUGCCAGCAGCCGCGGUAAUACGGAGGGUGCAAGCGUUAAUCGGAAUUACUGGGCGUAAAGCGCACGCAGGCGGUCUGUCAAGUCGGAUGUGAAAUCCCCGGGCUCAACCUGGGAACUGCAUUCGAAACUGGCAGGCUAGAGUCUUGUAGAGGGGGGUAGAAUUCCAGGUGUAGCGGUGAAAUGCGUAAAGAUCUGGAGGAAUACCGGUGGCGAAGGCGGCCCCCUGGACAAAGACUGACGCUCAGGUGCGAAAGCGUGGGGAGCAAACAGGAUUAGAUACCCUGGUAGUCCACGCCGUAAACGAUGUCGAUUUGGAGGUUGUGCCCUUGAGGCGUGGCUUCCGGAGCUAACGCGUUAAAUCGACCGCCUGGGGAGUACGGCCGCAAGGUUAAAACUCAAAUGAAUUGACGGGGGCCCGCACAAGCGGUGGAGCAUGUGGUUUAAUUCGAUGCAACGCGAAGAACCUUACCUGGUCUUGACAUCCACAGAACUUUCCAGAGAUGGAUUGGUGCCUUCGGGAACUGUGAGACAGGUGCUGCAUGGCUGUCGUCAGCUCGUGUUGUGAAAUGUUGGGUUAAGUCCCGCAACGAGCGCAACCCUUAUCCUUUGUUGCCAGCGGUUAGGCCGGGAACUCAAAGGAGACUGCCAGUGAUAAACUGGAGGAAGGUGGGGAUGACGUCAAGUCAUCAUGGCCCUUACGACCAGGGCUACACACGUGCUACAAUGGCAUAUACAAAGAGAAGCGACCUCGCGAGAGCAAGCGGACCUCAUAAAGUAUGUCGUAGUCCGGAUUGGAGUCUGCAACUCGACUCCAUGAAGUCGGAAUCGCUAGUAAUCGUAGAUCAGAAUGCUACGGUGAAUACGUUCCCGGGCCUUGUACACACCGCCCGUCACACCAUGGGAGUGGGUUGCAAAAGAAGUAGGUAGCUUAACCUUCGGGAGGGCGCUUACCACUUUGUGAUUCAUGACUGGGGUG